rnacentral:rRNA from 1 species
AGGAUAAACGCUGGCGGCGUGCCUAACACAUGCAAGUCGAACGCCCUUUUUCCUCGCAAGAGGGGGGAGGGAGUGGCGGACGGGUGAGGAACACAUGGGUGACCUACCUUUCAGUGAGGAAUACCGGCGAGAAAUCGUCGACAAGACCGCAUGAGCUUCCCUCGGUGAGCGAGGGAAGGAAAGCUCUUUUUCGUGCGAACGGAGGGGGGCGCUGGAAGAUGGGCCUGUGGCCGAUUAGCUAGUUGGUGAGGUAACGGCUCACCAAGGCGACGAUCGGUAGCUGGUCUGAGAGGACGAUCAGCCACACUGGGAUUGAGAACGGCCCAGACUCCUACGGGGGGCAGCAGUGAGGAAUUUUCCGCAAUGGGCGCAAGCCUGACGGAGCAACGCCGCGUGCAGGAAGACGGUUUUCGGAUCGUAAAGCUCUUUCGCUCGGGACGAUAAUGACGGUACCGAGAUAAGAAGCCCGGCUAACUUCGCGCCAGCAGCCGCGGU